UAAAUACUCCCUCCAUCCUGAAAUACUUGUCCGAGGAAUGGAUAUAUCUAGAUGUACUUUAGUUCUAGAUACAUCUAUUUCUAUCCAUUUUUGCGACUCCGGACGGAGGGAGUAUAAU
rnacentral:pre_miRNA from 1 species